CUAAGCCCACAGCUAAAAGCUGAUGGGGAAUGGCAGGUGUGUGGCACAAGAGACGGCACCUAUCGCAGUUGGAGAGACAAAGACUGGGAUGUGGAGGUGGACAGUGAAAGAAGUUGAAAGAUGGGAGUUGCCAGAUUGGUAAGAAAUGAGACAAUUCAAAGGAGAAAGAAAUGGGGGCAGUGGGAUAAAAAAAAGAAGAAAAAAAGUUGCCUUUGUUUGUGCUGGUGUGUCAUUUAACAUUCAUUCAUUGUUAAUUUUUUGCUUUUAGGUAUCUCUUUUAAAAAACUGUCAGUCCUAGAUAAAUAAAACUUGGUUUAUGGCUGCACCCAUAAAUGUUCAUCUCAAUGCAUGUUAAAAAAUGUAAAAUGUAUUAAAUAUUUAAAAAAGAAAAUGUCCAACUAGAUGUGAAGACUUUUGUUAGACAGGGUACUCACAGAAUUUUCAAAUUAAAAUUCCAUGUAUUUUGUAAAAGAUUCCCCCCCCCCCCCCGUCUGAUAUCCCAGAUUUUUUAUUGUAUACAAGGGCCUCCUGCCACCCCAAAUAGCCACACCUUCACCACCAAACACCAUAAUGAACAUACUGUUACAAUAUAUAUAUAUAUACGUGUUUACAUUUCAACUCAUUAAUUUGGAUUUAUUUUUCCAGUGUUCUAGUUAUUGGUAAUAUUAUUGUCUAGCCAUAAAAACUACACAUGUGGUCCUUGGGGGGGGGGGGGGGGGGGGGAAUAUUGGGCAUUAUGUUGUAUUAUAACUACAUGUAAAAGCUACAUGCUGAAUAUAAAGAUUAUGGUUUACAAAUAUAACAAUACUUGUAUAUAGAUUAUGAUUGAUAUAACCUUCUACUCUUGACUUCUAGUGUUUUGGGUGCUACAUGUAGAUCAUAUAAACAUGACAUUUUCCUUGGUGGUACAAUUUGAUAAAGUGACCAGAUGAUUUCUCAAUAAAAAUAAAUUGGUUUUGAAACACACAUUAGAAAUUAUCAGUAGCCAUCAUUCAAUACCCUCAUGAAAAAGACAAAAGGAAUCCAAAACACCAACAUCUUAGGUUUAUUACAUUUUCACAUUAUUUUGUAUAGGUAUCCAUGUAUAUACAGUAUAGGACUCAACAAAAUUCCCUGAUAUUUUUCCAGAUUCUAUUACACCCAAAUAAAAUUCCCUGGAUUUUCCAUGAAUCGGACUGAAAUCCCUGUAUUUUCCCUGUAGGGUACCCUGAUGGAACAAACUUCGAUUGUUACUUUAUAUUAAAUACCUGAAAAUCAGAUUUUUGUUCUUUAGUCCACUCUGUGGUAAUCCUCAUAAAGCUGGACCCAUUUGUCAUUCUUAUUUUAUUUUAUUUUGUUUAUUAAAUAACUGAAGGUCAGAUUGUGUUUAAUCCACUCUCUCUGUGGUAAUCAUUGUAAAACAUUUUUAUUAUUUUGUUUAUUAUUAAAUAACUAAAGGCCAAUUUAUUUUCAAUCCACUCUGUGCGAAUAUAAAGCGUGACACAUUCAUUAUUGUUAUAUAUUAUUAUUAUUAAUAAAUAACUAAAGGGAAGAUUGUGUUUAAUCCACUCUGUGGUAAUACCAUGAAUCUUGACAAGUUUGUCCUUGUUAUUUUUUGUUUAUUAAAAACUGAAGGUCAGAUUGUGUUUAAUCAUAAAUCUUGA
rnacentral:lncRNA from 1 species